GACGAACGCUGGCGGCGUGCUUAACACAUGCAAGUCGAACGCUGAAGACCUGGCCUUUGUUGGGUUGGAUGAGUGGCGAACGGGUGAGUAACACGUGAGUAACCUGCCUUCUUCUUUGGGAUAACGCCCGGAAACGGGUGCUAAUACUGGAUAUUAACUGGCCUUCGCAUGGGGGUUGGUGGAAAGGUUUGUUCUGGUGGGGGAUGGGCUCGCUGCCUAUCAGCUUGUUGGUGGGGUGAUGGCCUACUAAGGCUUUGACGGGUAGCAGGCCUGGGAGGGUGACCGGUCACAUUGGGACUGAGAUACGGCCCAGACGGCGACAGCAGUCAGCAGUGUGGAGUAUUGCACGAUGGGCUAAAGCCUCAUGCAGGGGCGCCUCGUGAGGGACGGAGGCCUUCGGGUUGUAGACCUCUUUCGCGAAUGGUCAAGCCGCAACUGUUGGUUGUGGUGAGGGUAGUGGGUAAAGAAGCGCCGGCUAACUACGUG
rnacentral:rRNA from 1 species